CUUGAUUGAUGGGAACUGCUGAGAAUCAUGUUCGCGAACGUGGCUUUUACUGUGCAGUAAAAUCACUUAAGAUGAUGCUACACGGAUGUUAGCAACACAGCGCUAAUUUUAGCAGUACGGUUACUGAAUGUGAAUCAUCUCCUCUGCCCUGGGUGAGUGACACAGCGCCAUUUUCAGCACAGUACCUGAAUGAGAAUCACGUCCUCAGCGUCAGUUCUCUGUGUGCAGUAGGUUCGUGAAUCAUGAACGAAUCGCAGCGCAAAUGAGAAUCACAUCCUAUGUGACAGUUCUCUGAGGCAGUCACGGCAGUGUGAUGAAAACAGACGAGAGACAUUAUGCUGAAUCGUACGCAGGACACUUUACUGAAGUUGCACAGCAGUGGAAUUUGUCAAAUAAAGUCACCACAGUUAGCACACAUAGUGCACGAAAUAUGAUCGCUGCUGCAAGACAACUGCCUUUUGAUCACCUCCCCUGUUUCGCGCACAGUCUCGGCGUUCUGUCCCAGAAUCAAUGCAUAACAGUGCGUUUGACAAUGUCCUGGCCAAGUGCAGAAAAGUCGUGGGACACUUUAAACACAGUCCAGCAAGUGCAGCAUAAUUAGACAACAACAAGUUGAACAUGGACAGAAGAAGGAGUCGCUUAUGCAAGAUGUUCCAACCAGAUGGAAUUCAACUCUAUAGACAUGAUAAAAAAGCAUCUGCAGAGACGAACAGCCACUGAGGGACGUCCUCACCACAAACACCAAGAUUGUCAUGCCAACUACAGCUGGAAUGGAGAAACUGCAGAGGUUGGAAAUGCUACUGGAGCCUUGCAGGUAUUUGACUGAACUUUUGGGAGGAGAAAAAUAUCUCAUGCUCUGUGGCUCUGCCUGCUUUUUGCCAUCUCUCCCGGGUGAUGGAAAGCUCAGAUGAUGACCCUGCUUACGUGGCCAAGUUCAAGACUACAUUCAGAAAAGACCUGGAGACACGCAAGGGAAAUGCCAACAUUGCAUAUCUGACGAUUGCUACUGCACUGGAUCCUAGAUUCAAGGACCUCAAGUGUAUACCCAGAGCUGAGAAGAGUGAGGUGUGGGCCUUAGUCACCAACUUAGGCAAGGAACAGAUGGUUAUUGCAGGGAAACCUAUAGAAGAAAAAACCUCAGAGCCACCAAAUAAAAAGUUAACCCUAUUGGCUGCUUCAUCUUAGUCUGAUUCUGAACAGGAAGAAGACUCAAUUGAGAACAGUGUGCGUCGAUACAGAGCAGAGCCUGUCCAUUAGAGUGGUGGUCCAAACAUGCAGCCCCACACAGCAGGCUGGCCGCUAUGCACAGAAGUACUUGGCCACAACUGCAACGUCUGUCCACUGUGAAAGGUUGUUUUCUCUUGCUUUUCUCUUGCCGUCCAGAAGAAGAGAGCUUCUUUAUCAUCUGAAAAUGUAAACAAUCUUGUGUGCCCUAGCAACUGGCUUAGUGCAGAGGGGUAAAAAAAAAAA